GAGAAAGGGGGCUUCGGCUCCCGCUAUCGGAUGAGGCCUAUGUCGGAUUAGCUGGUUGGUGAGGUAAAGGCUCACCAAGGGCGACGAUCCGUAGCUGGUCUGAGAGGAUGAUCAGCCACAUCGGGACUGAGACACGGCCCGAACUCCUACGGGAGGCAGCAGUGGGGAAUAUUGGACAAUGGGGGGAACCCUGAUCCAGCCAUGCCGCGUGUGUGAAGAAGGCCCUCGGGUUGUAAAGCACUCUCAGUGAGGAAGAACGCCUGGUGGUUAAUACCCAUCAGGAAAGACAUCACUCACAGAAGAAGCACCGGCUAACUCCGUGCCAGCAGCCGCGGUAAUACGGAGGGUGCGAGCGUUAAUCGGAAUUACUGGGCGUAAAGCGCGCGUAGGUGGCUUGAUAAGCCGGUUGUGAAAGCCCCGGGCUCAACCUGGGAACGGCAUCCGGAACUGUCAAGCUAGAGUGCAGGAGAGGAAGGUAGAAUUCCCGGUGUAGCGGUGAAAUGCGUAGAGAUCGGGAGGAAUACCAGUGGCGAAGGCGGCCUUCUGGACUGACACUGACACUGAGGUGCGAAAGCGUGGGUAGCAAACAGGAUUAGAUACCCUGGUAGUCCACGCCGUAAACGAUGUCGACCAGCCGUUGGGUGCCUAGCGCACUUUGUGGCGAAGUUAACGCGAUAAGUCGACCGCCUGGGGAGUACGGCCGCAAGGUUAAAACUCAAAUGAAUUGACGGGGGCCCGCACAAGCGGUGGAGCAUGUGGUUUAAUUCGAUGCAACGCGAAGAACCUUACCUACUCUUGACAUCCUGCGAAUUCGGUAGAGAUACCUUAGUGCCUUCGGGAACGCAGAGACAGGUGCUGCAUGGCUGUCGUCAGCUCGUGUUGUGAAAUGUUGGGUUAAGUCCCGUAACGAGCGCAACCCUUGUCCUUAUUUGCCAGCGCGUAAUGGCGGGAACUCUAAGGAGACUGCCGGUGACAAACCGGAGGAAGGUGGGGACGACGUCAAGUCAUCAUGGCCCUUACGAGUAGGGCUACACACGUGCUACAAUGGUCGGUACAAAGGGUUGCCAACUCGCGAGAGUGAGCCAAUCCCGAAAAGCCGAUCUCAGUCCGGAUCGGAGUCUGCAACUCGACUCCGUGAAGUCGGAAUCGCUAGUAAUCGUGGAUCAGAAUGCCACGGUGA
rnacentral:rRNA from 1 species